rnacentral:rRNA from 1 species
CGUAAGGGGCAAGCGUUGUCCGGAAUCACUGGGCGUAAAGCGCACGUAGGCGGUGUAGCAAGUUGGGGGUGCAAGCUCCGGGCUUAACCCGGAAACUGCCUCCAAAACUACUAUGCUUGAGAGUCAAAGGGGAAGCUGGAAUUCACGGUGUAGCGGUGAAAUGCGUAGAUAUCGUGGAGAACACCCGUGGCGAAGGCGGGCUUCUGGUUGACUUCUGACGCUGAGGUGCGAAAGCUAGGGGAGCGAACGGGAUUAGAUACCCCGGUAGUCCUAGCCGUAAACGAUGGGUACUAGGUGUGGGGGGUUAAACCUCCGUGCCGUCGCUAACGCAUUAAGUACUCCGCCUGGGGACUACGGCCGCAAGGUUA